rnacentral:rRNA from 1 species
AUACGGAGGGUGCAAGCGUUGUUCGGAAUCACUGGGCGUAAAGCGUGCGUAGGCCGUUGGAUAAGUCGGAUGUGAAAGCCCGGGGCUCAACCCCGGAACUGCAUUCGAUACUGUUCAACUCGAGUAUGGGAGAGGGAAGCGGAAUUCCUGGUGUAGCGGUGAAAUGCGUAGAUAUCAGGAGGAACACCCGUGGCGAAAGCGGCUUCCUGGCCCAUUACUGACGCUGAGGCACGAAAGCGUGGGGAGCAAACAGGAUUAGAAACCCCGGUAGUCC